GGACUGCUCGGGGUUAGGCUGGGCAUCGGUCAGCGAGUGAAGACGCUAUAGGAGAGCUGCCAUUGCCAAGUGUAUGUUCACACUGAUUUAGAUGGGAAGUCUUUAGAUGCCAUCAGUACCCUGGCAAAGCUUUCUGGUGUUUCUGGAGGAUCCUCAUCAUAAUGACAGGAAAAUAAGCCAGAACAAUUUAAGAAAGCUCUACAUGCAACUGUUCACAAAUCUGGGAAGAUCUCCAGCAACAUUUUAAUAGACCUGACUGUUUGCAAUACGGUUGAGGAUUGUGCUGGACUAAGCUGAAGAUACGCAUCUUCAUAUUUCGUGAAUGAUACACUCUAUCAGAACAGUAGCAGUUACAUCUUUUGUGGUUACACCUACAGUUUACACCUUUUGCAUAAGGUGUCAGGCAGAGGAAAUUUAAACAUUUUACAAAAUAUGUUUCUGAAUGUAUUGAGAAGAAAAAGUUAUUAUAUGCAUUCAUUCAGAUAUAAGCAGGCAAGCAAUGAGGCUAUGAGAAAGUUUUAGAGCAAAGAUGAGAAACUAGACUCAGUGAAAUGGAUUCCAUUUUGAGUUAUGUUGUGACAGUUACAGGCAGAAAUCUAAGUGUGUUGAUUGGGCCACAAACCAAACAAGAUAUGCUAUUUUUUACUGACAUCUAUUUUGAAUAUGAAAAUUGAGUGCACAGUGAAGCAGAAUGGAGCAACAGAGUAGGUGAGAACUGCAACUGUUAUAAAACAAGAAUUUGAUGUACACAAAUAUUCACAUACUCUCUGAACUCUUUCACCUGACCUAAUGCUAAUAUGAAGCAUAAAAAAUAGAAAUUAUUGGAGCUAAAAUGGGGCAGAUCAUGUAGUUUAAUGUCGUAAUUCAAAUGCACUAUAAUGCAUGUUCUUAAUCUGAAACUCUUGACAGAGUUUACCUGUUCCAGUCAUGACAAAUGAUGUAUAUCUGCAUCAGUGGCUCAAUCAUUACAUAUACUGAUGGCAUGGAGACAUCCAACACAUAAACAGACACUCAAAUCUUUCCACUUAAAUAAUAGCACUAUCCAUCAUUAUAAUAUCACUCACAAAAUUGCAGUGCUCAGCAUUACCCAGCAGUUUCAUUUGUGUCCAUCACUUUGAUAAUUCAUAAUUAUAAUACUAAAAUAGAUGCUCAUGAGUGCUUUGAUACCUCACUAGAGUUAAGAUGUAGAGAAAGCUGCUCCAUAUAUAUCCUGUCUAAAAUUUGGUAUAUACUGUACAGUGUUGCUAGAAUGAAAUGAAAGACAUGUAAAAUCAUCAAUCAAUGUCUUGCUCCAGCCAUUUGAUUGGUUGGAAGUAACCAUCCGAUUUUUUUCAGCAGAACAAAAUUAGGGUGUGGAAGUACAGCUUUCAUCAUAUUUCAAAUAUUUAUUCAACACAUUCUCUAAAGAUAUAACUGUUGAAUUAUAAAGAUUAUGGCACACAAGAUGUCUUCAUUCUUCAAGAAACUUAAAUUAAAUGAAAUGGUCAAAAUACAAAUUCAGAUGAAAUGAAAUGAUAAAAAUGCUGUCAUCAAAGGAUGUGACCAAAGAAGCAAAAUCAAAUUCUGGUAAUAUUUUUAAAAGAACCUUAAAACAGUUUUCACUCAUGCACAAAUAAACACUUCAAUGUGAAAAGGACAUUCAUUUUUACCAGUGAACGAUACUAAUAGUCAGAUUCCAAGCUCUAAAACUAUGGAUGUUUGAAAAAGGUGGUUUUGAAUUAGGCUUUCCUCAGAGUUAUGGUCAUGAAUUAAAUUUAAUUAUACUACUCACAGAGAAUAAUCUCACAUAAAUUACAAAAGUCUUCCCAAGAAUAUCAACAUUAUUUACAUACAACCAUGUAACAUCAGGUAUUCUAGUAUGAAUAUUUUUCACCUGGAUUUAAGAAAAUCUUUAUAAAAACAAUGCUGAUAUAAAAUCUCUACCUGACACUGCCAGAAACUGGUUUACACUACAGGUUUCUACUGGCUUCAAGAACAGACAAGACAUUAGUAUCAGUAAUUCAACAUUUAUUAUCAUCAAAGUAAUGACAAAAAAAAAAAAGUUCUUACAUAAUGAGCACAAUGGCUUUGAAACACAACAAUUGCUCUCCAGGUAAGAAUGCCAUGUCUCCCCGUUGUGAUGAGGAGCUGGAAUAUACCAUUUCCAAGUGUACAAACACCUAUUUUCAUCUAUGGUCAGGAAAACUACUGUAUCCUAAGUCCAUUAUUGUUACGGAAAUGAAUACAGCUUAGCACAGUCACAGAUUUUUUUAUCACCAAUAUGAAGGAGAACAUUGAAGUUUUGGAAAGGUCAAAAAGAUACAUUUAUUCCAUUUUUUUUGGUUGUUGUUUUGUUUUGUUUUGUGUUUGUUUUCUUUGUCAAAACUAUAAAUUGGGGUAGAUACUUAAUAUAUUUUAGAAUUAUCAGUAAAGUUGAUGAACAGCAGCUAAAGAUGAUCAAUUGUUGUUUACAUGCAUGUAAGGGCAAUUUAUCACAUUGCUUAGCUAAAACUGAAAACAUUUUGAUUACCUGAACAUGAACAUACAAUUGGGACAGAGAAUUUCCAGUAUUAGGUAUAUAAUUGUAGACAACAUCAUGUUAAAUGGAUAUCAAUAUUACAACAGUUAUCUUCUCAUCUUGUUCUUCAAGUAUUGCUAAAAAUCCCUAGUUUAUUUAUUGAUUUUGUGAGUCUCCUUUCACAAAUGUGGUCUAAAAGAUUUGUGUCCUAGUAGAAGCUGUCAUUUAUAAAACUUAAAAUGCUGAUCUCUAGAAGAUUGUCUUCAUGGACUUGUCUAAAAGAAAUAGAAACCAACCAAUGAACCAACUAAGCAAGAAUAAAGAACCAACCAACCAACCAACCAACCAAAAAAAGCCAACACCAUAAUUUAAAGGCACAAAUGUAAAAUGUUAAAAUUAAGUAGUUCAUUCCAGAGUGUAACAUGGCUCUCUAAAGCCAAUUUUGUUAUUAAACUAACCUACAUUAAUGAUGUAGUCUUAUAUUAACCUUAUAAUUUUAAGGGAUAGUCAGUUGUUUUACCUUCCUAUUUCUACCAUUUACAAAAAUAAGUACCAAAGUAAAAUGUCAAUUGCUUUUUCAUUGUAUAUCUGAAGAAAACUUUCAGUUCAUUUCAAGCUGUCUAGAACUCAUGUAUAUUUCCUCAAUCUCUGUUUACUUAGAGUUUUCAAUAUGAUGGAUCUACUAGCUUGGUUGUUGCAGAAGCAGUUUUCUCUCAUGUUUAUAUCCAGUGACUAAGAUAAAGCGAGUGACAAUUUAUGGUGGAUGCAAGGUGUUUCAUUAAGAUAAAGUGAGUGACAAUUUAUGGUGGAUGCAAGGUGUUUCAUUCUUCUUCUUAGUAGACACAUCUACAGAAUAUCAUGAUAGUGUCUGAGUGGGCUCAACACACACAAAUCCAUGGGUUCUGAUGGGAUGCAUCCACGUGUGCUAAGGGAGCUGACGGAGGUGAUUGGUGAACCACUCUGUAUCAUCUUUGAAAGGUUCUGGAGAACAGGAAAGGUGCCUGAAGAGUGGAGGAUAGCCAAUGUCACUCUGGUCUUCAAGAAGGGCAAGAAGGAAGAUCUGGGAAACUAUAGGCCAGUCAGUC